CGGACCAAGGAGUCUAACAUGUGUGCAAGUCAAUGGGACUCGAAUAAGCCCAGAGGCGAAACGAAAGUAAUGGUCCGCUCAGGGACCAAGCCGAGAUCCCCUCUCCUUCGCGGGAGGCGGCGCACCGGCCACCCCCUCGUUCCGAUUCAUCGGAUGGGGGGAGUGUGAGCACACACGUUGGGACCCGAAAGAUGGUGAACUAUGCUCGGGCAGGUUGAGGACAGAGGAAACUCUGGUGGAGGACCGCAGCGGUUCUGACGUGCAAAUCGAUCGUCAGACCCGAGUAUAGGGGCGGAAGACUAAUCGAACCAUCUAGUAGCUGGUUCCCUCCGAAGUUUCCCUCAGGAUAGCUGGCGCUCGGAGAACUCAGUCUCAUCCGGUAAAGCGAAUGAUUAGAGGCCUUGGGGCCGAAACGACCUCAACCUAUUCUCAAACUUUAAAUGGGUGAGAAGUCCGCCUCGCAUGACUUGGAGGCCGGACGUCUGGAUGAGAGUGCCCAGUGGGCCACUUUUGGUAAGCAGAACUGGCGCUGUGGGAUGAACCAAACGCCGGGUUAAGGCGCCCGAUGCGAGACGCUCAUGAGACCCCAGGAAAGGUGUUGGUUGCUCUAGACAGCAGGACGGUGGUCAUGGAAGUCGAAACCCGCUAAGGAGUGUGUAACAACUCACCUGCCGAAGCAACUAGCCCUGAAAAUGGAUGGCGCUCCAGCGUCGAGCCUAUACCCGGCCGCCGCGGCAGAGCUCCUAUUGAUAUGGGAGACUUAUGUCCCGGUGAGUAGGAGGGUCGCAUCGGCGAGCGUUGAAGGUGCCGGGCGUGAGCCCGCCUGGAGCCGCCGAUGGUGCAGAUCUUGGUGGUAGUAGCAAAUACUCAAGUGAGAACCUUGAGGACUGAAGGUGGAGAAGGGUUCCAUGUGAACAGCAGUUGAACAUGGGUCAGUCGGUCCUAAGGGAUCGGAGAAAUCCGUUCCGAAGCGGGACAUUGAAGCUACGCGGAAUUCAGCGUGAUUCUGCUCGUCCCGCUCCUGAUCGACAGGGAAUGGGGUUAAUAUUCCCCAACCCGGACACGGAGAUAGAGCCCUCGGGCUCAAGUGCGGUAACGCAACCGAACUCGGAGACGGCGACGGAGGACCCGGGGAAGAGUUAUCUUUUCUUUGUAAGGGUUCGUGUCCCUGGAAUCGGUUCAUCCGGAGAUAGGGACGCUGUACCCGUAAAAGCUCCGCGGCUCUUGCGGAGUCCGGUGCGCCUCUGCCGCCCCUUGCAAAUCCGAGGGAGAGAGUGUGAUUUUCGUGCCGGACCGUACCCAUAUCCGCAGCA
rnacentral:rRNA from 1 species